GUCAGGAAAGAGAGAACCACUUUCUCCAUUCCUCUCUGUUCCUUCUUGGCUGUGCUACUGAGCAGUCCCUUAAGCAGACAUGGGCUAAUUUCUAUCAUGGUGAACUGUGAUUGGGAUCUGGUGAUUUUAUAAGAUGUAGUUGUUCUUGUUAGUUAGGUUGUUGUUGCUGUUGUUGUUGGUAUAGUUAGUUAGAUUGUGUGUCAUUAUUUGUAUGUUGUUGUUGUUUUGUCUCUGAAUAAAUAUUUGUUAAAGUAGACGGACCAGAGUUUAUAUGUGUAUGCGUACAUAAUAAUUUAUAGAGUUUGGUAAUACACCACAGGCUGACAAGUAGCCUUGUUACAAGGGCAUUAGAGUCGUGUAGCUUCAAUUUCAGCUUGUGGGUAAGGGGAAUGUCAUUUUCGAUACCAUCUAC